AGUGAACGCUGGCGGUAGGCCUAACACAUGCAAGUCGAACGGCAGCACAGUAAGAGCUUGCUCUUACGGGUGGCGAGUGGCGGACGGGUGAGGAAUACAUCGGAAUCUACUUUUUCGUGGGGGAUAACGUAGGGAAACUUACGCUAAUACCGCAUACGACCUACGGGUGAAAGCAGGGGAUCUUCGGACCUUGCGCGAUUGAAUGAGCCGAUGUCGGAUUAGCUAGUUGGCGGGGUAAAGGCCCACCAAGGCGACGAUCCGUAGCUGGUCUGAGAGGAUGAUCAGCCACACUGGGACUGAGACACGGUCCAGACUCCUACGGGAGGCAGCAGUGGGGAAUAUUGGGCAAUGGGCGCAAGCCUGAUCCAGCCAUACCGCGUGGGUGAAGAAGGCCUUCGGGUUGUAAAGCCCUUUUGUUGGGAAAGAAAAGCAGCAGGUUAAUACCCCGCUGUUCUGACGGUACCCAAAGAAUAAGCACCGGCUAACUUCGUG
rnacentral:rRNA from 1 species